rnacentral:lncRNA from 1 species
GGGUCGAGUCUUGAGGUGGGCUGGAGGGGAAGGAGACACAGGGUGCUCACGCUGUCCCCCCUUCCUCAGCUCCACCAGGUGCUGGUUCAGCUCCAGGCUGGCGAGAAGGAGCAGGACUUGGCAUCAGCUCCCAUUCAGGUCUCCAUCAGCGUCCAGCUGUGGCGGCUCCCGGGAUGCCACGAGUUCCUGGCAGCUCUAGGUUUUGAUCUCUGUGAAGUUGGUCAGGAGGAAGUAAUCCUGAAAACCGGGAAGCAAGCUAAUCGACGGACUGUGCACUUCGCGCUCCAGUCCCUGCUGUCUCUGUUUGAUUCUACUGAGCUACCCAAGCGCCUCAGCCUUGACAGCUCCUCCUCCCUCGAGUCUCUUGCUUCUGCUCAGUCUGUUUCCAACGCCCUGCCCUUGGGUUA